rnacentral:rRNA from 1 species
UACAGAGGGGGCAAGCGUUAUUCGGAAUUAUUGGGCGUAAAGGGCGCGUAGGCGGCUUUGCAAGUGACGGGUGAAAGCCCUCGGCUUAACCGAGGAACUGCCUGUCAGACUGUGAGGCUUGAGACCAGGAGAGGUGAGUGGAAUUCCCAGUGUAGCGGUGAAAUGCGUAGAUAUUGGGAGGAACACCAGUGGCGAAGGCGGCUCACUGGACUGGUACUGACACUGAGGCACGAAAGCGUGGGGAGCAAACAGG